GCUUCCUUAGCUCAGCUGGUGGAGCAACGGACUUGUAAUCCGUGGGGCAUUGGUUCAUCUCGAUAGGAGGCU
rnacentral:tRNA from 1 species